rnacentral:lncRNA from 1 species
AUGCCCUGCAGGGUCCCAUUGCAGGACAGGGGACCCCCGGAGUCACCCUGGGGACACACAGGGGUCAUUCAGAGGUCACUCAGGGGUCAGAGAUCACUCAAAGGUCACUCGGGUCACUCAGGGGUCACUCAGUGUCACUCAGUGUCACUCAGAGGUCACUCAGGGGUCACUCAGGGGUCACUCGGGGGUCAGGGGUCACUCUGGGGUCACUCAGGGUCACUCAGGGUCACUCAGGGGUCACUCAGGGGUCACUCAGGGUCACUCAGGGGUCACUCAGGGGUCACUCAGGGGUCACUCAGGGUCACUCAGGGUCACUCAGGGNNNNNNNNNNNNNNNNNNNNAAAUUCCCAAAUUUUCCCAGAAUUCCCCCCCAGACCCCCCAGAAUCUCCCGGAAUCCCCCAGAAUUUCCCGGAAUUCCCCGGAAUUUUCCGGAAUUUUCCCCGGAAUUCCCCGGAAUUUUCCGGAAUUCCCCGGAAUCCCCCGGAAUCCCCCGGAAUUUUCCGGAAUUCCGGCUGUUCCGGCCGCUCACAGCGUUUGAUGCGCGGCUGUUCCCCGAAGGGCGGGGCCAGGAACGCCUCCCGGAAAAGUUCCCCGAAGGGCGGGGCCAGGAACGCCUCCCGGAAAAACCAAACCACGUUCACCAACCACAGGAACGGCAACAGCAGGAACCCACCUGGGACAGGUAAACAACACACCUGGGACAGGUAAAAAUACACCUGGAGACACCUGGGACAGGUAAAAAUA